rnacentral:rRNA from 1 species
GUCUACGGCCAUAGCACGCUGAACGCGCCUGAUCUCAUCUGAUCUCGGAAGCUAAGCAGGGUCGGGCCUCGUUAGUACUUGGAUGGGAGUCUAUCUCAAUACAAUAUAAGAAUUAAUUCACA